UACGUAGGGACCAAGCGUUUGUUCGGAUUCAUUGGGCGUAAAGGGUGCGUAGGCGGCGCGGUAAGUCGGGUGUGAAAUCUCGGGGCUUAACUCCGAAACUGCAUUCGAUACUGCCGUGCUUGAGGACUGGAGAGGAGACUGGAAUUUACGGUGUAGCGGUGAAAUGCGUAGAUAUCGUAAGGAAGACCAGUGGCGAAGGCGGGUCUCUGGACAGUUCCUGACGCUGAGGCACGAAGGCCAGGGGAGCAAACGGG
rnacentral:rRNA from 1 species